rnacentral:snoRNA from 1 species
AUUGCCGUGAUUAGCACUAUACCAACCAAUUGUUCCGACUGAAUUGCAACAUGUUGACAACCUUCGUUAAUCGUUAAGUUUCAGCCUUGUAUGAGCAAA